UGGGGAAUCUUCCGCAAUGGACGAAAGUCUGACGGAGCAACGCCGCGUGAGUGAUGACGGUCUUCGGAUUGUAAAGCUCUGUUAAUCGGGACGAAUGGUUUGUGUGCAAAUAGUGCAUAGACAUGACGGUACCGGAAUAGAAAGCCACGGCUAACUACGUGCCAGCAGCCGCGGUAAUACGUAGGUGGCAAGCGUUGUCCGGAAUUAUUGGGCGUAAAGCGCGCGCAGGCGGACUAGCCAGUCAGUCUUAAAAGUUCGGGGCUUAAACCCGUGAUGGGAUUGAAACUACUAGGCUAGAGUAUCGGAGAGGAAAGUGGAAUUCCUAGUGUAGCGGGGAAAUGCGUAGAUAUUAGGAAGAACACCAGUGGCGAAGGCGACUUUCUGGACGAACACUGACGCUGAGGCGCGAAAGCCAGGGGAGCGAACGGG
rnacentral:rRNA from 1 species